UAGCUCCCGUGCGACGUUUUUGAGGUGAAUUGGCAAAAGUGCGACGUUGUUCGAGCGAAUGGCUGUGGUGCAACACAUUUGAGCGUGUAAAUAGCCCAGGGCCACAUGGGGUGUUAAAUGUGGUUAAAUUGGUCGUCAACCAAGCCCGCCCGUUUAUGUUAGGACAUGUGGGUCCAACUUAAUUGUUCCUCAAAACAGCUGACCGUGCCCUGCCGCCCGACCGUGCUGGGCCCGCCACUCUGCCCCCCUUCUUCUCCGGUGGCGGCGGAUCUUGCGUUCUCGGUGGCGGCGGCGGAGCCCUCGUUCUCAACGGCAGCGGAGCCUUCAUCAUAAGAAAAUGGUUGUGAGGGGAGUCCGUGGGCAUACUGAGAUGGAGCCGCCAGAUUCAACUUCGAAUAGAGGGGAUGCUGCCGCUCGGACCUUCGAAUUGAUAGUCAAUUUCUUUCCAUCAAAGGCAAAAUUAGUUGAUGGUAGCAUACAGAACAUUGAGAGAGACACAAUUGUUAAAUGGGAGGUUGAGUUUACAGAGAUUGAUCCACAAGUUCUACAGAACAUGGGAGAGACGGCAGUGAAGAAAUGGGUGGAAAAAAUUGGGGAGAAUAUAGUUUGGGGUCCAGAGCAAGAAGUAUCACUGUUGCGGUUUGAUGAUUGGAA